UAAGGAAUAUUGGUCAAUGGACGCAAGUCUGAACCAGCCAUGCCGCGUGAAGGAUGAAGGUCCUCUGGAUUGUAAACUUCUUUUAUCUGGGACGAAAACGGGAUUUUUAUCUCAAUUGACGGUACCAGAGGAAUAAGCACAGGCUAACUCCGUGCCAGCAGCCGCGGUAAUACGGAGGGGGCGAGCGUUAUCCGGAUUUACUGGGUUUAAAGGGUGCGUAGGUGGGCUUAUAAGUCAGUGGUGAAAUCUCCGAGCUUAACUUGGAAACUGCCGUUGAUACUAUAGGUCAUGAAUUAUCUGGAGGUAAGCGGAAUAUGUCAUGUAGCGGUGAAAUGCUUAGAUAUGACAUAGAACACCAAUUGCGAAGGCAGCUUACUACAUAUAAAUUGACGCUGAGGCACGAAAGCGUGGGGAUCAA
rnacentral:rRNA from 1 species